UCUCCUCUCUCCUCUCUCCUCUCUCCUCUACAUUCAUCUCUCAUCUCUUCCUUUUCUCUUUUCAAAGAACAUUCUUCAAAGAUCCAUUCAAAAUCCAUAUUCUUCAGAUCCAUUCAAAUCCAUUUGUCUCUUCUCAUAUGUCUACACAUUUUAAAAAACCAGAGAUUUCCUUCAACCCAAGCCAUAACUCAUCACCAUCAUCUUCAUCCACUCGAGCCCUCACCCUCCCCCUCUCUGUUGAAGACGAACAGCCGGACUCCGGCCAGUCACGGCGGAGCCGGCGACGCCGGUGGGUCCCAGCUGAAGCUCCCUCUCCGGUGAAACCGUUUCGGCACCGGUAACCAGCCGACAACCCCCCUAAACCUCCUUUCCUCAUCCCCAUGUAACACCCUCAUUGCACAAGUUAGAACCGAUCUCGAAGAGAGACAGAAAUUUUUUUUGUUUUGGCGCUAUUUUUUUUUUUGUUUAGAAGCCAUUUCUUAUAUGAUUAAAUGAACAGGUGUAUUAGAAUCCGAUUUUGUUGAACCAGCACAUGAUAAGCAGGAGUUUGAACGCACACCUGUACUUUCAAGGGCUUGAGAACCGAUUAAUUGCUAUACAGAAGAAAUACUGGUCUACAAAUUGCUAAGAAAUCGGCUAUGCAAAACGUUGCAAGGGCGCUUCAGUUACAAAAUGUAAACCUUCAAUAAUAGAUAAAUUUGAAGAAGGUAGAGUCUCAACUGAAACAGACUCCAAUAAUAGAUAAAUUUGUAAAAAA